rnacentral:rRNA from 1 species
UAGGGAAUCUUCCGCAAUGGUCGCAAGUCUGACGGAGCAACGCCGCGUGAGUGAAGAAGGAUUUCGGUUCGUAAAACUCUGUUGUUAGAGCAGAACAGCGCCUAGAGUAACUGUUAUGCGUGUGACGGUAUCUAACCAGAAAGCCACGGCUAACUACGUUCCAGCAGCCACGGUAAUACGUAGGUCCCGAGCGUUGUCCGUAUUUAUUGGGAGUAAAGCGAGCGCAGGCGGUUAGAUAAGUCUGAAGUUAAAGGCAGUGGCUCAAUCAUUGUAUGCUUUGGAAACUGUUUAACGUGAGUGCAGAAGGGGAGAGUGGAAUUCCAUGUGUAGCGGUGAAAUGCGUAGAUAUAUGGAGGAACACCGGUGGCGAAAGCGGCUCUCUGGUCUGUAACUGACGCUGAGGCUCGAAAGCGUGGGGAGCGAACAGG